rnacentral:ribozyme from 16 species
UUUUUGUUUGUUUUGCAUUUUUUUUUCUUUUUUUUUUAACAUGAUUGAAAGAAAUUU